UACGCAAACCUUUUGACAGUGGUGAUGUUUUUAUUUUUGCGGUUUUACAGUCCCCUUCUGUUUAUUGCAAGUGCUACCGGCUUUUCAUUUCCGGCCGUGAUCUGAAGCUUCCUUUCUGAACACAUUUAAGUUUGACACAAAAAAAGUGAGUGAUUGAGGAAGAAAAACGGCGGUGGAAUGGCGGCCUGUGGAUGUGGAUGUGGCGGUCGUGGAGGAAGAGGCAGGGGACAAAGUGUGAGGAGUGCAGGGUCAGGUGAGAGCAGGCUGCGAGGUGCCCAAGGCGGCUGCAGGCUGCGGUGUGGCCCAUCAGCUGCACACCCAGGGACAGGCUUAGGAAUCUGGGUGUGGGGGGGGGGGGGGGGGGCAUUCUAGAGGGCAUACACUCUCCCAUGGAAGUUCAACGCCAGCUUUCCUCCAAUCUGCCCACAGAUUGUCUCUCUUGGGUUGGGCACCAGAGGAAGGAACUGGCUUAACUUUGGGGCCCCUGUGGCACGAAAGAGAAGAAUCCUUCAACACUGGAAGCACGCUCUUUGAGGCAAGAAGCUGGCAUUAGGGAAAGCACUGGGGGCCCUGAAAUCACGGCGGGGGGGGGGGGGCGCCCACUAGACAGUGACAUCUCACCAUCCAUCUGGGGUAUGUGCUCGCGGGGGCCACUGCGCAGGCCCCUCCCUUUGGUUGUUUUCUCUCUUCCUGCCUCUUUUUCUGUUUCCUUCUACCUCUGCCUUGGACUGUUCCUCCCUGUCUGGGUCUCUCUCCCUCUCUCUCCCGGGAGUACCUGUACAUGCGCCCAAGUUGUAGGCAGGAGUACUCACUGUCCUCGGGUGUCACGCAGUGGGCCUCCCCCUCACCUCCCCAUCCGGCCCAGGAGGGACCCUGGCCUGCACAGCGUCACCCGUGAUGGGUCCGGGGCCCCCGCCUCACGCCUGGCCAGCCUUGAAAACAUUCCUCCCGAAGCUCCUCUUCCGUCUGCCCGUCAAGUUAGCUGAAAUGCAAAUCCUAUUCUCCUGGCCGGAAGCUCUGAGCUUCCACACUUCCCUCCGGCGACGCUGUGAUGCCAUCCCAUUAGCUUCGCUGCCCAGGAAGCCGCCUGGGCACCAGGAAAAUGAGCUGAGUGGACGCUUUGCCGCAAAACCUCCGGACAGCCCUCCCUUCCCUGGGCGCUUUACGGUGUGCAAAUGGCCCGACCAUCCCAUUCAUCCCGCGUCUCAUGCUCUCCCUGCCUUAUCCCAGGAAGGCUAGGUUUGGCUGCGCCGGAUCUGACGAGUGAGUGAGUGAAGCUCAGAGAGGGAAAGCAAUCCACCCAGGGUAACACAGCACAUGCGGGUCCAGGCCCACCCAACUCCAAGUCCAGAUGUGUUCACAUUCCAUCACAGCCUCUCUCUCCCAUUCACACCUUCAUUCAGCCAACGUUCGGUGAGCACUUGCUGUCUGCCAGGCUCCCCUCGUGGUUCAGGAAAUGAAGGCGUGUCUAAGACACGCCAGGUCCCUGCCCUCACGGAGCUGACAUGCUUACGAAAGAAGAUAGAAAAGAAGCACAUACUUUGAGAAUUCAGAGUUUAAUAACUGCUUUGAAGGAAAUGAGGGCAUGAGAAAGUGGUAGGUAGUUUGGCCCAGGAGGAUGGGGCUGGCCCUUCUGGGAAGGUGACAGAUAAGGAAACGGAGGCUCAAAAAGAUUCAGGAUGUGUGCGGAGGGCCAACUGGGCUGGCUCCAGAGUGGGCACCCCUGAAUAUUUCUCUGCUGCCCCUGGAAGGGCCAGGUUCUCCAGAUGAAGAAUACCAGCCCUGCCUUCCCAUGCAAGCCGAACCUCAGGAGAAGAGGUGGACCACGUAGUGAUUCGACAACUCAAUACAUGACUCUUGCUCUCCAUGCUGAGUGUCGUCGGCGUCUGUCACCGGAGAGUGUUACUGACUGCAUUCCCUGUGCUGUGCUUUCCACCCCCCUGGCUUGUUUUGUCACUAGAAGCUUGUACCUCUUAAUCCCUGUCACCUAUUUCACCCCCCCGCCCAGCCACCUCCCCUCUGGCAACCGCCGGUGUGUGCUCUGUAUUUAAGCGUCUGUUUGUUUUUGUGCCCGUUCAUUUGUUUUGUUUUUUAAAAUCCUGCAUGUCAGUGAACUCAUACGGUAUUUGACUUGCUCUGACUUAUUCGCUUAUUCCCUCUAGGUCCAUCCACGUGACAAACGGCAAGAUCUCAUUCCUUUUUUAUGGCCGAGUAAUAUUCCACAUCUCUAUCCACUCAUCUAUGGCUGGGCACUUGGGCUGCCUCCAUUUCUUGGCUAUCGUAAAUAACACUGCUAUGAGCAUAGGGGUGCGUAUAUCUUUUCAAAGUAGUGGUUUUUCUUUGUGUGAAUCCCAGUAGUGGAAUUUCUGGGUUAUAGGGUACUUCUAUUUUUAAUUUUUUGAGGAACCUCCCUGCGGUUUUCCAGAGGAGCUGCACCAGCCUGCAUUCGCGCCCACAGUGCAUUCCCUUGUCUCCACAUCCUCACCAACGCGUGUUAUUUCUAGCAGUUGGUUGGUUCCUUUUUGUUGCUGAGUACUAUUCCAUGGUGUGGAUAUGCCACGGCUCAUUUAUUUACUCCUCCACUGAAGGACAUUUGGUUAGUUUCCAGCUUGGGGCUCUUACAAAUGAAGCUGCUAUGAACAUUCAUGUACAGUUUCCUGCGUGAAAAGAAGUCUUCCUUUUUCUGGGAUCAAUGCCCAAGAACGCAAUUGCUGGGACCGUUUUUACUUCUGAGAAGGAAGUGCCGAAGUAUUUUCCAGAGUGGCUGUAGCGUUUCACGUUCCUGCCAGCAACGUACAGGCGAUCGACUUUCCUGGUAACUGGAAUUUUAUUUAAAAACAAAACACUACAGUUCUCAUGGGGGCUCAACUUUGCUGCAGUCUCGAUCUCUCUGAGCAACCCCAGGACGAGGACCUCCUCCACCCCCCAUCCUUGGCAGCCUGUCGGCUGGCCAUCCACCUGGCGAUAAGCCCGCAGAGAGCAGGGCCGGGCCCUGCUCAGAUCUGCCCCCCGGAUCUGGCACACGCAUGGGGCCUAGCAGUUGCAAUCACACACAACAACUAGUGAAGGCAGCAAAGACCCACAGCCAGCCAAUCAGAGGAGGGCAGAGGCCAGCCCCGGGGUUCGCAGGGCAUGGCUUAACUCCCUCUGCCAGAGGCAGCCUCACGGGAACAUGCUCAACUCAGCAAGGCCCCCAUCAGGAGUCAGGCUUGAACAACACGGGUUUGAACAGCACGGGUUUGAACAGCACGGGUUCACUUACAACAUGGAUUUUUUUUCAAUAAGUACAGUACUUUAGACGUAUUUUCUCUUUGUUGUGAUAUUCUCUUUUUUUUAAUUUUAGAAAGAGAGAGAGAGAGAGAGGAUGAGCAGGGGAGAGGGGCCGAGAGAGAGA